GAGUUUGAUCCUGGCUCAGGAUGAACGCUAGCGGGAGGCUUAACACAUGCAAGUCGAGGGGCAGCACGAGUCCGCCGCAAGGCGGAUUUGGUGGCGACCGGCGCACGGGUGAGUAACGCGUAUGCAACCUACCCUGUACAGGGGGAUAGCCCGGAGAAAUUCGGAUUAAUACCCCAUAACUAUAUCGAGAGGCAUCUUUUGAUAUUUAAAGUUUCGAUGGUACGGGAUGGGCAUGCGUGACAUUAGCUAGUUGGUAGGGUAACGGCCUACCAAGGCUACGAUGUCUAGGGGUCCUGAGAGGGUGAUCCCCCACACUGGUACUGAGACACGGACCAGACUCCUACGGGAGGCAGCAGUGAGGAAUAUUGGUCAAUGGGCGUAAGCCUGAACCAGCCAUCCCGCGUGCAGGAAGACGGCGCUAUGCGUUGUAAACUGCUUUUCCAGGGAAAGAAAACCCCCGACGUGUCGGGGCUUGCCGGUACC
rnacentral:rRNA from 1 species